UCCACAAGUGUUUCUGAGUUCCAGGAACUUGAACAACACGAUGAAAGAGGAAAAGCUCAUAACUGGAGAAGGCCUUUCAGUAUCUGUACAACCCGUGUCCAAAAUACCUUAGAAAUGAACUCUGAACACAGAAAAAGUGAUUUUUUUUUUUUUUUUUUNNNNNNNNNNNNGUUUUUUUUUUUUUUUUUUUUGUACCAGGAUCAAACUCACGACUUUGUGUUUGCGAGGCAGCUGCAGCACCACUGAGCUAAAUCCCCAGCCCUAAAAGUGACUUCUAAAUGGUCUCGGAUAGAUUUAACCCUUACAGAGUUCUGGAAGGAGCACGACAGCAUCCUGUCCUGUGUGAGGUUCGCUGAGAAAUCCUAUGUCUCUCUAAGGACACCGAGAUCCGCCUGUGUGCAGGAGAGAGACUCUGAAGGCUGUGGAGAGGAGCCUGAGCCUUCUUUGACCCACCGGAGUUACAACCAGCCCUCAGAAGGAAUUGAGUUUGUAAGUCAAGGGUCCGCUGUAUUCAGGUCCUAACAUCCAACACCCAGGAGUGUUGUGUGGCCCGUACAGGACCACGCAGAGACAGCCUAACUGCUCAUCUGUUGCUGAGCUCAGUGGAGUGGAAGUGGGCGGGGAGAGCGCUGCAGAGCACUUAACUGUGGCCCCUGUAAUCCCCACGGCAGUUUACAGGGUCUCCCAGGGCAGAAGCUGAUGAGAAGGUCAAGCGUUAGAUGAGACAGGAGUAGAACCCC
rnacentral:lncRNA from 1 species